CCAGUGUUUGUUGUGUUAAAUUUGAUUCAAUUGAAUUCAGUUUUAUUUGCUUUUAUAUAUGUCCAUUUACUUACUAAUGUUAUACUUUAGCAAUUUAUCAUAAAUGGACAGCGUGACACAUAUAUACAUACAUUAUAAAGAGAAACCGUCACAACAGUACAUUUUGUAUAUUAUUUUCAACCCAGACGCUCAUUAUAAAUAUGAUAUUUAAAGCCUGACUGGCGUAUCUAUUUUUACAUCAAAGUGGGAUUGAUUUACCGGAUUUUAUGACUAUGUUGCUGUCAAAUUAGUACAGUUUGAAUGUAUUUUACAUGGGCUAGGACAUAUAAACAAUGUUUGUUUUGUACUUUCCACUGUUUAUUAAGUGUCUUUUUAUUUUACUAAUCUGGGAGCUAUCUCAAUCAUUUGUUAUGAAUUGAUAUGAGAGCUAUAUAGAUUCCAAAGUGAUGUGUUUUCUUUCGAGUUUUUCCGUGAUACUAAAAGGCCUCCAGAAAAAGAUAGAUUAGCCUAGCAAAACUGAAUUAUUUAUGUUUGUGAUUUAUUAAUCCAUGACAUUCAAAUUUAUUUUAAUAAGAACAUUUAUGUCCGUUUUAUAUUUUUUCUGGCUAGUUUACCGACCAAUAUUAUUUAAUAAUAUUAGCUUUAAAUCAUGAAUGGAAAAGGGCAGUUAUUGCAACACCAUGAUAAACCACACCAUCCGGGUACAAUAAAAACAAACGCUCGUUUUCUUAAAACAAAUUACAUACGUUUUUCAUGAGAAAAACGAUUUAGUUUACGGAUUUUAUGAGGGUGUGGUUGUCAAAUUGAAACGUGCAGAAUAUAAUUUACAAUUAUAAUGCCAUAUUAGUAUUUCACACUUUUGACUAGACGUAAUCAAGUUUAAGUUUUAUCUUAUCUGGAAGUUAUGUUAUUCAUUUCAUAAAAUAUAUUAAAAUUGAUACCAAGUGUUUGCAUGAAAUUGUUUUCAUUAACCUCUAACGUUUAACCUCUGCCCUAUACAGCCAAACGAAGCGAUGAGUUCCUCUGUAUUAACGUUGUACGCAAUAUUCGUAUAUAUGUGACCUUAAAAACAAAUAAAACAAUAGUUUGACCUAUGACGGAAUUAUAUCUAAAUAUCCUGUUGUAUAUACGUUUUCUUCAGUAUGUAUUUACUUUACACAGGAAGAAUAUUUACGAUCGAGUAUAAGUAGUGUCAAGAUUUCUUUUAUAGGUAAAGUUUAAAGGAAGUAGGACGUACGUUUAAAAAUAUAUAUGUAGGACGGUAAUUUGCCGAUUAAGGCACCUUAAAGGGCUUAGAAUGGAAUGAAAAUUUUCACGUACGAGUGGACUAAAAGAUGUAAUUUAUAGGUUAACUAUGUCAUUUUUUAAAUUACAAAUAUGUAACUAGAGUGACCAGAAGAACGAGUUAUGACAGACAGGGAUUUAAAUGACAAUGCAACAGUUUGGCAUACAGAUUCGCAGGUUUCAGACGUACCGUCGAUAAACUAUGAAGUAUACACAGACGAAGACGCCAUUGAGGAACUGCAUGGACCUAUGAGUUGGACGGGACCCGCUCUGGGAAGUGCAAUUUUUUGUUUUUUACCUACAGGACUGAUAGCAUAUUAUAAUGCUAGAAAGCUCAACGUGGUAUGGCUUAAAGACUAUGGAGUACAGAUUAUAUGGAGUUCACUCUUUGUUACUCAUGAAAUAUGGCGACCGUUCUGUUACAACUAAAACUGUGCAACCUAACGUUGCAUUUUUGUUGAAAUGCAGGAGCAAUGACUCUGCUGUUGCUGAUUGACUCCAGUGUCUUCAAGUGCACAACUACAAACGUCUUUAGAAUACGAGUAUAUAGUUUCUUCGAUACAAACAAUUAAGAAUUUCAUCAGACCAUUUUAACAAAAGCAAGGACGGACUAUAACUUUGUUCUUAUUGAUGGGAUCUUAGCUUGAAUAUUUAGGUAGACUUUUCUCCAAAUCCACAUGUGAUGGCAAAGUCUAGAAAAGACGCCUACCCCAACAACAUGCCAUAAAAUAUUUUGACAUUCUCCAGUAAAGUCAUUCUUCUAGACCGUAUGCAUGUGACAAGUUUAUAUCUGCAAAAUUUUGAUAACAUCUAACUAUUGGUUGUACAAAGCGUUCAUGAAUAGACAGACGUCAGGAUCAUUUGAUUUUCAAGACUAUGUCUACUGUUUCGAUAUCUGAUAUUUUGUACACUUUUCAGUUGAAAUAUUCUCAACCAUAUUCAGAUUUUAAUUUUUCAUUCUUUGAAAAUUUAAGGCUAGAUUUCUGUAUCUCUCAAAUAUGACUACACUUUUCAUUCAUUAGAAUUUGUAAUUUGCAUAAUUUGUAUCCAAAUGUCGUCACAAACAAUGAACUUUUAUGCAAAUGACAUAAAAUUUGUUUAUAAUGACGUACGUGUGAUUUAUUCAUACCCCACUGAGUUCCUUUGUUUGUUCGCUAUGUCCACGUGCUGUGGGUUGCGCCUUGGGAUUGCUGCGUGUUUGGAAAGUGGCUUUCACUAUUGUGUUUUUAUGAUUGUUUCCUAAUAUAACUACGGAUAA
rnacentral:lncRNA from 1 species